GACGAACGCUGGCGGCGUGCCUAAUACAUGCAAGUCGAACGCAGUGGGGACGGGUGAGUAACACGUGGGUAACCUCCCAUCAGAGGGGAUAACACUUGGAAACAGGUGCUAAACCGAUACUGAUGGAUGGACCCGCGGUCCAUUAGCUAGUUGGUGAGGUAACGGCGCACCAAGGCCACGAUGCAUAGCCGACCGGAGAGGGUGAUCGGCAACACGGGGACUGAGACACGGCCCAGACUCCUAGGGGAGGCAGAAGUAGGGAAUGUUCGGCAAUGGACGAAAGUCUGACCGAGCAACGCCGCGUGAGUGAAGAAGGUUUUCGGAUCUUAAGACGCUGUUGUGAGAGAAGCGGUAUCUAACCAGAAAGCCACGGCUAACUACGGGCCAGCAGCCGCGGUAAUUC
rnacentral:rRNA from 1 species